AAUAUUUCUUUUCUUUCGUGCGUUGAGAAAGCAAUAUCACGUUGUCUGGGUUUUUGUAAAGCUAAAGUUGUUUCUAGUAUAUAACCCACAUGACCCUAGAGUUCUUUUAAAUCGAUUCUGUUUUUUUAUCCGGUUUUUUAUUUUAAAGAUAACAGGUUUAAUUUCACACUGUUUAUGAUUGCAUCAUGCUGGGAGAAGAAAGAGGUAGAGACAGCGCUGGGUUCUGAUUGGAUAAUAUCGACCUUCCGUGUUAUGGAAAAUUGUAAGCCUGUCUUAUAUUACCACGUGUUGAAGCCGGGCAAUUAUUAAUCACACACUGGAAGUGUAGAGAGUAGGAGCCGAAGAAGAAAAUGGCUGAGGGAAAGGCUGUAAACGGAGAGGCGAAGGAUGGAACGGAAGAUAGACUUAUGUCGUCUAGCGGUGACGAAGGUACUGGUAUUCAAAUGAAAAGAGAUGUUGGUCUUAUUGGUGGAGUUGCUGUGAUAGUGGGAACGAUGAUUGGCAGCGGUAUCUUCGCUUCGCCGAAAUAUGUGCUGAUGUUUAGCGGAUCGGUUGGAAUGGCUCUGGUAGUUUGGACGUUAUGUGGUGUACUAGCAAUGUGUGGAGCAUUAUCCUACGCCGAGCUUGGUACGAUGAUUCACACGUCUGGAGGAGAGAGUACCUAUCUUCUGGAAGCAUUUGGUGGACUGCCUUCCUUUAUGUACAUAUGGACGGCUUGUAUAGUAAUUAAACCGUCUCAGAUCGCGAUAGUGUGUCUCGUCUUUGGCGAGUACGUUGUCACGCCGUUUUUCCCGGAUUGUGCCAGUAAGCCUGAGGUCAAGGUUAUUGUGAAAUUGCUGGCAGCAUUCGCUAUAGCUGUUAUUACAAUAAUCAACUGCAUCAGUGUGAAGCUAGCAACUAGAGUAAUGGUGUUCUUUACGGCUGCAAAAUUAUUUGCUUUAGUUUUGAUUAUUCUUACUGGAUUAGUCCGCUUAGGGCAGGGGCAUAAUUACGAGCUAGAGGGGAGCCGGUCUUUUGAUGGUACUGUCAUGGCAGUUGGUACAAUUGGUGAAGCAUUUUAUAAUGGCCUAUGGGCAUAUGAUGGAUGGAAUAAUUUGAACUACAUCACAGAAGAAAUAAAGAAGCCAAGCAGGAAUUUGCCUCUUGCCAUUGCUAUUGGAAUUCCACUGGUAACUGGGAUUUAUUUGAUGACAAACAUCUCGUAUUUCACGGUGCUGACGAAAGAAGAGGUGUGGCAUUCCUCUGCUGUUGGUGUGUUGUUUGCUCGAAGAAUGUUUGGUGUUAUGUAUUGGGUUAUUCCUGUUUUUGUUGCGUUUUCAACAUUUGGUGCUGCCAAUGGUGCAGCUCUUGCAAGUGGCAGACUCUUGUAUGCUGCAGCAAGACAUGGUCAUCUACCAAAACUUCUUGCUAUGAUCCACAACACUCGUGGUGUUCCUAUCCCAGGCUUGAUCUUACAGAGUUUAAUUGCCUGGGCUAUGUUGAUCCCAGAAUCCAGUAGUUUCAGCACAUUAAUUGGAUAUUUCACAUUCGCUGUCUGGGUGUUUUACGGAACAACAAUUUCCGGUCUUCUUUAUAUGAAGUUCUUCAGUAGGAAGGAUGCCGAAAGGCCAUUUAAGGUGUUCGUUCUGUUCCCGGUGAUCGUGCUACUUGCUGCUAUCUAUCUUGUCGCUGCUCCGUUUUCAAAGACGCCACUUCCUGCUUUCUUUUGCCUUCUGUUCAUUUUGUGUGGAAUUCCUGUGUAUUUCCUAUUCAUUCAUAAGAACAGAAGUCCCGCUUUCCUAACGAAUGGAAUGGAUAAGUUCACAUAUUUCGUGCAAAAGUUUGCCGAUGUAUCGUAUCCCGCAUCAGAAGAUGCUAUCAUUGGCUAAAGUCUGUCAUGUCUAUUCUACGCCUCGCCCCUCUUAUCCAGGGGGAUUUAUCUAUGGUAUAGGGUAUAGGGUUCGCCGUAAAAUAACAUUUACGUGAUGUUCUUUAUCCCCCCUGUAUAGUUGAAAAUAAGACAUACGUUUACACUUUUACAGUUGAGCCUGUGACGAGAGUGACAGUGGCGUAGCCAGGAUUUCAUGUCAUGGGGGGCCGAAAAUAUUUGAGGGGGGGCAACUCAAGAAGGCUUGGCAAAUCAAAAGAACGAUGUCGGAAUCAGUCUGAUCAAUGUUGUUAGUGGGCUCGAUUGAGUCUUUAACUUGACUUACUGUAUUACUAUUGUGAAUUAUUGUAAUUGAAUUAUAUACUGAAUUAUUAGGAAGGUAGGAAAAUGCUGAAAAUCUGAAAUACGCAUGUAUUGCAACUUCAAAGCAGAGCAUAAUAAAUAAAAAUAUUUUUUUGACAUAAUAUUUUGAAAGGGGGCCAGGAAUUCUGCCAGGGGGGGCCUGGCCCUCGGGCCCCCCCUCUAGCUACG